rfam:Asian citrus Psyllid, Diaphorina citri - Florida Strain, whole genome shotgun sequence.
GCCUAGUUAGCUAGUUGGUAGUGCGUCUGCCUUGUAAGCGCUAGGCCGCGGGUUCGAUUCCCGCCCGGGGCG